UUUUUUUUUUUUUUUUGUCUUUUGUCUAUUUAGGGCUGCAUCCCUGGUAUGUGGAGGUUCCCAGGCUAGGGAAAUAGCAAAAAGACAAAAAAUAAAAUAAAAUAAAAUAAAAUGUCAAUGGGAGCAAAGACUCCAAGCUGGACAUGUGGCCAACAUGUGUUCCUUAGCCCACCCAUGCCCAGCACAGCUGGGUCCACCCCAGGAACCAAUUCCAUGACAAAGUUCAAAUUCACCAUUCAUUUCAUAAAGCCCAGCUCCAGGCUUUUUAAGCCUAUUUUACUUUUUUGUUGUUGUUUUUGUCUUUAAUAGCAACACCUUGAGCAUCAGUUACUACUAUUUUCAUAAAUACGGUCCAUACUUCGUCUCCAGACCCCUGAUACUGGGCUUGUAUAAACUUUAAAAGUGUUACAAUGACAUUUCUAAUUCAACUUUCAAAUCCUUUGCACAAAGACAGCCCAUAGCUUAUAGAAAAGAUGCCACCAGGGAAUCCAUUACUGAUCCACAGAGACAAUUAUGGGAUUACGAUGCAGGAGAAUGGAGGGGGCGGUAUUGGGGGGAAAAAAACACCCAACCACACAUAUACUUCAUUUUAUACAAAAAGCAGCAAGGAAUUUUUAACAUACAUUAAGAAAAAAAAAAAAAAAAAAAAAAAAAAUUCAAGGGUCCCUAAAAUCCGCUGGUUAGGGUAUUUUGUGUAACUGGAUAUUCUGAUUGUGUCUCAUUCGAUGACAACCAGUUUCCAAAGAUUAUAGGGCCAUACACUGCCCUCGACACUAAAAUCACGCCAAAUACAACCUGCCUCCUUUGAUGAGUCAAAAUGCACUUCGGGAGCUUGCCAAGUCUUGAGUUCAUCAUUACAAGCAAGUCCUGCUCAUGAAAAAGUUCUCCUUAUUUAACUUUUCGGAUGGGAUUCUGAGCAAGGAGCCGUUCCCUGGGCUAUGGCCAAUCCCACUGCAACACAACCACUGUUCUCCUCGCUUCCGCCCUUUUCACAGAUGGGACCGGCUUCCAGCGAGGUGACCUAUGUUCAGAGAUGGAGAGAGCUGGGCUCAGCCUCCCUGGAAGGGAAGAGGCUUCAGGUUCAUUGUAGUUACUGGUGACUGGUUCUGAAAUUGAGGAACUAGUUUGAGGAACUUCAGAAUAAACAAGAAGCCCAGACAACUUGGCUUUCCACAGAAAGCUUCCAACGCACAGGGGUAACUGGAGGGGAGCACAAGGCCCAGCCCUGCCCUUCAGCAGUGGAACUCCGACCAUGGCCUUGUUUUAGAUGCUGCCCUACACAUCCUUUGACAGACGGGCCUGAGUGGGCAGUCUGGGGAUGUGUCCCUUUCCAACACAGAGUCACCUUCUUGUCCUCCCCCAGGAAAGGAAGAAAGGGCUUGGGACCUGUGAUGUGACAGGGAACACGCCCAGAGGCUCUCAGGCCCAUUCCCUGGUAAAGGAGGCAGGAUCAUGAACCAGCCCAGCAGGGCCUGGAAGAGGAACCUGGUUUCUAGUCUUGCAUUUUCACAUGGUAGCAAAUAGCCAGGGGCCACCACGCUCCAUGUGCUGUGCCGGCCAGAGCUGAUGUGACGGGUGAUCCAGACAGACGAGGUCUGGAGCUUUCACUGUCGUAACCCUGGAAAGGCCUUCCUGAAAUGCUGAAUCCAUUUCCUGAGAAGCACUGUCAUGGGCCAGGCCUUGGACCAGCUGCCCACGACUCUGUCUGAGUGGUGGGAUUUGCUGGUGUGGUCAUGGCCCUCUGUGGUCGAGCCGGAAGUCUAGGAUAGGGUGGCCGUGUCUUUAACAGCCUGCUACUUGUUGUCUGCUUCUCUCAGAACAUUUCUACGGACAAUGCCUAAACCUCUGCCAUUGCACUCCUCUCCCCGGAGCGCUGGGUUUCCGGACUGCGCUCAAGCUCCUACUCCAGGCGGACAAGCGGUACAAGGUCCCUUGUUGAAAGAGAUGCUGUGGGUCCCCAGACACCCGCAAGGUGGGGAGGCAGGCUCCUCCCCUCCAAGGAGCUCAGGCUGCAGCUGGAAAAGGAGGGCUGCUGUCUAAGGGGCUCCUUGCUCCCCUCCAACUCCCACAGUCUUGGUUCACGAUUCAGCGCCUGAAAUGUACCUGCUUCCGCGUCCAUCUUUCCACCCCACGGCCAGUUCGUGGUGGGGCAGGCCCUCAGCUGUUCUUGUUUUCAGAUGCUGGUGCCUAGCACGGCCCGCACUUGAUCCACCUGGCGAGUGGAUGCGCCCCUGGGGACAGACGGGUGCCUGUCUGAGCCUGGCUGGCUUGGGAGAUGAGUGUCCUGAUGGUCCAGUCACCUGGUGAGCUGGAGGGAACAAAGCCAGCUCCACGCACAACAGGUCAGAGCGUGGAGGCUGUAUUCUGACUGCACUCCAGCUAGAAGGUGUCCUGCAAGGUGGCUACUGAGCCACAGCUGUCACCCCUGCUCCUAAAUGCUGAACCUGCAUCCCAAAUGAUUGCCAGGUCCCCGAGAGGAUGACCCUUCUCAACUGGACAUCAUGCACCUGAGCUCAGGUGUGCCUACAUGUGCGAGGUGGGAGGAGGUACCCAAAUCUCCACCUUCUACACUCAUCUCUCUAAAGCUAUGCCUGCCCCUUGAAGUACAGCACCUCAGAGUUCCCACCAUGGCACAACAGGAUCAGCAGCAUCUCUGCAGCGCCAGGACGCAGGUUCGAUCCCUGGCCCAGGACAGUGGGUUAAAAGGAUAUGCCAUUGCUGCAGCUGUGGCAUGGGUUCCAACUGUGGCUCGGAUCUGAUCCCCAGCCUAUGAACUCCAUAUGCCACAGGGCAGCCAAAAAAAAAAAAAAAGGAAGAAGAAAGAAAAAAAAGUACAAAGUACAGCAUCUCCUUGUUGGGACUUUUGGGCCGGAGCUCAAGUUGCCUGGUUCAUCCAACUAACUUCCUGGGCCACAGGAGUCCGUUUCUAAUCUUAACUGGCAACAGCAUCCUCAUUUGAGAGUGGCAAGACUCCCUUCCUCCUGAGACUUCCAGCUAUCCCUAGUAUUGACCAGUAGACUAAUUCUGGCCCAGUAAAAGGAAAUGGCAGGGUCAGCAGGAGCUGGGUGGUAGAUCUCGGAUACAACAGCCCUUUGCCCUUCCAGGGCCCACAUCCAGAUGUGACAUCAAGCUUUGCCCACAAGGAAGGGCCUCUUCAUGGAAAAGAGCUGGAUGGAUCCCUCCAGAGUGACGCCCAACGACGCCGGGUCUUCCGGCCACCAGCUUGCCCCAGGCAACAGGACGGCAGAAAGAUGCAGGAGGGCUUCUUGGUGCCCGGUGGGUCUGUAACCUCACAAUCAUUCAUUCACAGUGACUGAAUGCCCACUUUGGGCAAGAUUCUGCCCGCUGAGCUAGGACAAUGCCCUACGAGGGUAGGCAACCUUUGAGACUUCCGGAUAACCCUGCCCAGAAUUGCCUUUUCUUAUCAACUUUUAUCUCCUUUUGGUUACAUGAACCUCAUGGUACAAGAGGGUGUCAAAUUGGCUUUCUGUUUACUUUUUCUUAGACCCAGAGCAGCUGCUGCUCUUGGCUCCACCCUCCCCAGGUCUGGCAGAGCUUGAAGAAAGGCUGAGAGUGAUGGGGUUGGGUGGGGAUACGAAGGAGGAGCUAGUUAAGAAAUAUAAUCCCUGCUCCAGGAGUAGUUCUUUUGUUCCACGUCGGCACAGCCCAGUGAAAAGAGCCUAGACCUUAAUUCGGACUCUGCAACUAAGUAGCUGUGUGGCCCUGGGCAGCUCAUUCAACAUCCUUGGGUCACCAUUUUCUGUUUUGUAGAGAGAAAAUUUCCAGGUUGUAACUCAAAGCAGCUCUCUCCUGGCAGUGGUUAAGGCCCAGGGUCAGUGAAGUCAUGUCCACCCAAGUGACUGCUGAUUAGUCCAGAUAGAUGAGGUGUGGGGCUAGAGAGGAGUCUGCG
rnacentral:lncRNA from 1 species